rnacentral:rRNA from 1 species
CGUAGUGGCUAGCGUUGUCCGGAUUUAUGGUUAAAGGGUGCGUAGCGGUCUUUUAAGUCAGUGCUGAAAUACUCCAGCUUAACUGGAGGGGUGGCAUUGAUACUGGGAGACUUGAGUGUAGUCGAGGUAGGCGGAAUUGACGGUGUAGCGGUGAAAUGCUUAGAUAUCGUCAAGAACACCGAUAGUGAAGACAGCUUACUAGGCUACAACUGACGCUGAGGCACGAAAGUGUGGGGAUCAAACAGGAUUAGAUACCCUGGUAGUCCACACUGUAAACGUUGAUGACUCGCUGUGUGCGAUAUACAGUACGCGGCUAAGCGAAAGCGAUAAGUCAUCCACCUGGGGAGUACGCCGGCAACGGUG